AAAUUUCUUGUUGAAUCCUCUUGAACUGCAAUUUCCAAUCGAGCACUGAUUCGACGAAGAAUGCAAUUAUCAUUGACACUCAUCGAUAAGACAAUUUCUUUUUAACUGUAUUGCGAAAGCACGAUAGCCACCGAUGAUUAGUAUUGUCGUAAUUCGAGUGUUGAUUACAGUACCGUUACGGUAGCUGUUAGUUAAAGGUUCGUCGGUGCACCAUGGAGAACGACAAUCAAAAGUCGGUAUGGUCGGUGGAAAAGGGCACAAUGACUAUGUUUAUAGCCGAGGUGCUAGGCACUGGGAUUCUCCUGUUCGUUGGUUGUAUGGGUUCUAUCGGAACGAUGGGAUCCAUACCGCCGCCAUUACAAAGUUCCAUGGCGUUUGGUAUGACUGUCAAUCUUCUGAUUAUGAUGCUGGGACACAUAAGUGGUGCACAUUUAAACCCCGCUGUCACGAUAGGAGCGGUUAUUCUAGGAAUUAAAACCAUCCCCACAGGAAUCCUUUACGCAAUCGCGCAAUUCAUUGGAGCAACUAUUGGAUAUGGAAUAUUAAUGACGAUAACUCCACCCGAAUUGUUCAAUGAUGGACGUUCAAACGUGACAAUUGGACACUGUGUAACCGUUGUACAUCCUGGAAUAAGUAUCACGCAGGCUAUUAUAGUCGAGAUUCUUUGCACAUCCUUUAUACUUUGUGCAGCAUGCGCCACUUGGGACCCAAGAUGCGCCCACACUACAGAUUCUACAGCGAUCAGAUUCGGUUUCUCCGUUGUUGGAGUUUCACUUGCAGCGAGUCCUUACACCGGUUGUAGUAUGAAUCCUGCGCGUACUUUCGGCCCAGCUUUUUGGAACGGGAAUUGGACGAAUCAAUGGAUUUACUGGUUCGGACCGUGUGCCGGAGCCUUUCUUGGAACGUAUAUUUAUGUAUAUUUUUUUGCCGAGAAGAAAGAGAACAAACAUGACGAUUGUCUCGAAUUUACGGAAUUAAAAGCAAUUAAUGAUGAUAUAAAUUAUAGCGAAAAAAAAAAUAAAAAAGAGGAAAAUCUCGAACUCGAAGAAAGCUAUUUAUGAUAAAUGGAGAAGGUGUUUAAUGAUCGUUAAGCACUGCGACGCCACAUGCCUAUAUAAGAGGAUCGCUCGGCGUGGCUCAACGCAUUUGUAAAUCAGUUUCCAGAGGAGUCAGAGGUGGCGUUCAAAGUGUGCAGUAGUGUGAAAAUUUCUUCCUCCACUAUGUUUACAGUUAAUUCGUCAUUAUUUCUUGGCAAUAAUAUCAUUAUUGCAAUAUCAUCUACAGAAUUGAAAAUUCUCCAUUUCACCAUAGAAGACACAUGAGUUUUCAAGAACGGAAUUAUUGAAGAAAGAAAAAAAGAAUGGCUCGACGCAUUCAUAAAGAAACUUUCGUUCGGAUGCAGUGAAUAUUCAAUUUCAUCAACUGAUCAUAUUUCUUCUAUUAUGCGAUCUACGACAACAUGACAUGAAAACAAACGAAUGGAUUGCGAAGUUGGACUAUUUACGGUGUUUCUACUUAAAAACAAGAUAUGUAAUAAAUUUGAUCGUAAAAAGGGAUCAAAUGAAACGAGGCUUUUUAUAUUUGUUUUUAUAGUGCACCCUACGGGGUCGGUGCUUGAACGCAACUAUAAUAUGGUCUGAUUAGAGUUUGAAAUUUCUUCAUACAUUUUGAACUAUUUGAGAAGAGCAUCUCGAGAUAUAUUAGUUUAGAGCAGACUCGUAGUUAGAGGUCGAGAAUAAAUUGUGGGCACCAUCUUGUCUAAACCAAUACUCUACUACAAAGGCAUAUGGAAUUUGGGAAUUGAGAAAAAAGUACACAGAUCAAAUAGAACCGAAAAUGAAAAAAAGACGAUAUUACGGUUAAAAAUAUCCAACAUAAAUAAUUAAAUAUACAAUUUCGAGUACGAUUGAAGAUCUUCAGAUUUCAUAAUUGGAAACGUACGGUAGCCUGUUUUUUUCGUCAUUUAGAAAAAAAUUGAAUAAAGAGGCAAAAUUUUAUAACGACGAACCAUUUUGUUCCGUGGUGUCACGAAUUUAAAAAUAGAUGGAUUUUUAUGAAACUGGGUAGACAUAAUAAAAUAAAAUGAAGA
rnacentral:misc_RNA from 1 species